GAUGAACGCUAGCUACAGGCUUAACACAUGCAAGUCGAGGGGUAACGAGAGGAAAGCUUGCUUUCCUUGUCGACGACCGGCGCACGGGUGAGUAACGCGUAUCCAACCUGCCCCCAACUAGGGAAUAACCUUGCGAAAGUAAGACUAAUACCCUAUAAUUUCCUCAGAUGACAUCUGACGAGGAAUAAAGAUUUAUCGGUUGUGGAUGGGGAUGCGUCCGAUUAGCUUGUUGGCGGGGUAACGGCCCACCAAGGCAACGAUCAGUAGGGGUUCUGAGAGGAAGGUCCCCCACAUUGGAACUGAGACACGGUCCAAACUCCUACGGGAGGCAGCAGUGAGGAAUAUUGGUCAAUGGGCGAAAGCCUGAACCAGCCGAGUAGCGUGCAGGAUGACGGCCCUAUGGGUUGUAAACUGCUUUUAUACAGGAAUAAAGUUAGCCACGUGUGGUUAUUUGUAGGUACUGUAUGAAUAAGGACCGGCUAAUUCCGUGCCAGCCGCCGCGGUAA
rnacentral:rRNA from 1 species